AUUGAACGCUGGCGGCAGGCCUAACACAUGCAAGUCGGACGGUAGCACAGAGGAGCUUGCUCCUCGGGUGACGAGUGGCGGACGGGUGAGUAAUGUCUGGGAAACUGCCCGAUGGAGGGGGAUAACUACUGGAAACGGUAGCUAAUACCGCAUAACGUCGCAAGACCAAAGUGGGGGACCUUCGGGCCUCACACCAUCGGAUGUGCCCAGAUGGGAUGAGCUGGUAGGCGGGGUAACGGCCCACCUAGGCGGCGAUCCCUAGCUGGUCUGAGAGGAUGAGCAGCCGCACUGGAACUGAGAGACGGGCCAGAAUCGUACGGGAGGCAGCAGUGGGGAAUAUUGCACAAUGGGCGCAAGCCUGAUGCAGCCAUGCCGCGUGUAUGAAGAAGGCCUUCGGGUUGUAAAGUACUUUCAGCGGGGAGGAAGGUGCUGAGGUUAAUAAGCUCAGCAAUUGACGUUACCCGCAGAAGAAGCACCGGCUAACUCCGUGCCAGCCGCCGCGGUAA
rnacentral:rRNA from 1 species